CUACGGGGAUGAUUUAGAAGCUGAACUCUCUCUUUCUGAUGGUUUAGUGGAGAAAUCAAAAAUACUCUGAGUAGC
rnacentral:snoRNA from 14 species